rnacentral:rRNA from 2 species
GUGGGGAAUUUUGGACAAUGGGCGAAAGCCUGAUCCAGCAAUGCCGCGUGCAGGAUGAAGGCCUUCGGGUUGUAAACUGCUUUUGUACGGAACGAAAAAGCUUCUCCUAAUACGAGAGGCCCAUGACGGUACCGUAAGAAUAAGCACCGGCUAACUACGUGCCAGCAGCCGCGGUAAUACGUAGGGUGCGAGCGUUAAUCGGAAUUACUGGGCGUAAAGCGUGCGCAGGCGGUUAUGUAAGACAGAUGUGAAAUCCCCGGGCUCAACCUGGGAACUGCAUUUGUGACUGCAUGGCUAGAGUACGGUAGAGGGGGAUGGAAUUCCGCGUGUAGCAGUGAAAUGCGUAGAUAUGCGGAGGAACACCGAUGGCGAAGGCAAUCCCCUGGACCUGUACUGACGCUCAUGCACGAAAGCGUGGGGAGCAAACAGG